UGGUCCGGCGAAGCCAUCUGUUACGCUACGUGGGGGGAGCCAACAGUCUAGGCUUUCUUGUUUUUUCAAUUUUGGGGUUUUCUCCUCCAGAUUUUUGGCCAUAUUAUAGCGUUUAAGUCCGCCCCGUUUGCUCAGCCUCUCAGCAGGGAGCGCUGCCUCUCUGGGGAGAAGGUCAUUGUGCCUCCGUGCGGCGUCCUUCCCCUCCUGACGCGGAGCCGGUGGGAGAGGACGACGGCCGGCGGGGGGAGGAGGCGGCCCUAGCGCCAUUUUGUGGGAGCGAAGCGGUAGCUGGGCUGCUCCUGGAUCCCUCGCUGCUUCGGUUUCCCUGUCGGGCUUCCUAGCAGCGGCCUAGCGGAAAGAUAAGAAAAGAUGUCCGAGUAUAUUCGGGUGACUGAAGAUGAGAAUGACGAGCCCAUUGAAAUACCAUCAGAAGACGACGGGACAGUGCUGCUGUCCACAGUUACAGCCCAGUUUCCCGGCGCCUGUGGGCUGCGCUACAGGAAUCCAGUGUCGCAGUGUAUGAGAGGUGUCCGGCUGGUGGAAGGAAUUCUGCAUGCCCCCGAUGCUGGCUGGGGGAACCUGGUGUAUGUUGUCAACUAUCCCAAAGAUAACAAAAGAAAAAUGGAUGAGACAGAUGCUUCAUCAGCAGUGAAAGUGAAAAGAGCUGUCCAGAAAACGUCUGAUUUAAUAGUGUUGGGUCUUCCAUGGAAAACGACUGAACAGGAUCUAAAAGAAUAUUUUAGUACCUUUGGAGAAGUUCUCAUGGUUCAGGUCAAGAAGGAUAUUAAAACUGGUCAUUCAAAGGGGUUUGGCUUUGUUCGUUUUACGGAAUAUGAAACCCAGGUUAAAGUAAUGUCACAGCGGCAUAUGAUAGAUGGACGGUGGUGUGACUGUAAACUUCCUAAUUCUAAGCAAAGCCCGGACGAGCCUCUGAGAAGCAGGAAGGUGUUCGUCGGGCGCUGCACGGAGGACAUGACCGCCGACGAACUGCGCCAGUUCUUCUGCCAGUACGGGGAAGUGGUAGACGUCUUCAUUCCCAAACCGUUCAGGGCCUUUGCCUUUGUUACAUUUGCAGACGAUCAGGUUGCCCAGUCUCUUUGUGGAGAGGACUUGAUCAUUAAAGGAAUCAGCGUCCACAUAUCCAAUGCUGAACCUAAGCACAAUAGCAAUAGACAGUUAGAAAGAAGUGGAAGAUUCGGUGGUAAUCCAGGUGGCUUUGGGAAUCAGGGUGGGUUUGGUAACAGUAGAGGGGGUGGGGCUGGCCUGGGGAACAAUCAAGGAAGUAAUAUGGGCGGAGGGAUGAACUUUGGUGCUUUCAGCAUUAAUCCAGCGAUGAUGGCCGCGGCCCAGGCCGCGCUGCAGAGCAGCUGGGGCAUGAUGGGAAUGCUGGCCAGUCAGCAGAACCAGUCGGGCCCAUCAGGUAACAACCAAAGCCAAGGCAACAUGCAGCGGGAGCCAAAUCAGGCCUUUGGUUCUGGAAAUAACUCCUAUAGCGGUUCUAAUUCAGGUGCAGCCAUUGGUUGGGGAUCCGCAUCGAAUGCAGGGUCAGGCAGCGGCUUUAAUGGAGGCUUUGGCUCAAGCAUGGAUUCUAAGUCUUCUGGCUGGGGGAUGUAGAGAGUGGGCGUGGUAGAGACUGGUGGGAAUUCAAAUUUUUCUAAACACAUGGUAAGUAUAUUGUAAGAUACAUAUGUACUAAGAAUUUUCAAAAUUGGUUUGUUCAGUGUGGAGUAUAUUCAGCAGUAUUUUUGACAUUUUUCUUUAGAAAAAGAGGAAAAGCUAAAGGAAUUUUAUAAGUUUUGUUACAUAAAGGGUUGAAAUAUUGAGUGUUUGAAAGUGAACUGCUGUUUGCCUGAUGGGUAAAAACCAACACACUACAAUUGAUAUCAAAAGGUUUCUCCUGUACUCUUUUAUCCCUGGACUUGUCAAGUGAAUUCUUUGCAUGUUCAAAUGGAAACCAUUGGUUAGAACUACAUUCUUUUCUCCUUGUUUUAAUUUGAACCCCACCAUAUGGAUUUUUCCCUUAGGAAGAUCUCCUUCUCGGAGAUGACGGUGUCACAGUGUUUGGUUCUUUCUGGUUUUGUUCUUGUUUUUUUAACGCUUGUCUCCCUUCACAUGCACAAGUACAAUACGAAGCCUUCAUUUAAUCUCUGCAGUUCAUCUCAUUUCAAAUGUUUAUGGAAGAAGCACUUCAUUGAAAGUAGUGCUGUAAAUGUUCUGCCAUAGGAAUACUUCUGUCUGCACGCUUUCUCAUUCAAGAACUCGUCAGCACGCUGCACAGGCUGCGUCUUUGACGCCCUGAAUGCAAAGAAUUCAUAGCAGUUAAUUCCCCUUUUUUGACCCUUUUGAGAUGGAACUUUCAUAAAGUUUCUUGGCAGUAGUUUAUUUUGCUUCAAAUAAACUUAUUUGAAAAGUUGUCUCAAGUCAGAUGGAUUCCUCACCUGUCAUGCAUUGACACCUGAUACCCAGACUUAAUUGCUAUUUGUUCUUGCAUUGUCCAAAGUGAAAGUUUUUUGUUUUUUUGUUUUUUUGUUUUUUCUUUUUAAAUCUAGUUUUUAAUAAGUCUGGGUGACCGCACCUAAAAUGGUAAGCAGCGCCCUCCGGCUUUUUACUAGUGCCUCUGUGCGUUUGGGUGAUGUUCUAUUUACAUGGCCUGUAUAAAUCUCCAUUGGGACUCUUGCCUUCUAAAAAUAUUCUUAUUUGGGGGAGUGGGAAGAACUCUGUUAAUUAUUUUCAAAUGCUUUGUAGCAAAGCAUAGCAGUCGAAAAGAAGGGCAUAUCAGCACCUUCCUAGCUUGGGAUUUGAAAAGUGGAAUUAAUUGCAGUAGGGAUAAAGUAGAAGAAACCACAAAUUAUCUUGUGCCUGAAAUCCAUUACAGAGCCUGAUAGCUUUAAGAACUAGCAGGGUGGGGUGUCUGUCUGGAAGUGUUAAGUGAAAUGGGCUUUGUCCCCCACAAGUGGGGGACUAGAGUAACGUUGAAUAAAAUCGUUUACAAACUCAGAUUAGACUCUCACGAUGCAUUGUGAAGUAUGUCAAAGCAAUAAUUACUGAUUCUCUGUUGUACUUUUUAUGUAACUGCCGUGAGAGUCGAGCUUGUUUUCUGAUGGAAGGAUGUGAACGGGUUUGUGUCGGUUCUACCUGAUGCCCUUCCCUGGUAGAUGAUGAUAGAUAGGUUUGUCAUUUUGCACGUUGCGUGUUUGAAACUGUUAGAAAUGAAGUCGUCCUUUAGACUUGUGAUCGCCACGUUGUUUCGUUAUUCAGUUUCCUCUGUAAAAGGAUCUUGCGUUGUUUGAAUUUUUUUUUUUCUGCAUCUAAAUUGCAUGAUUUCCAAACCCUGUACCAUCUGAAUUUUGCAUUUUAGCACUUGCACUAUUACUCAGCAGCAGUAACAUGGUAACACUUAAAAUGGUAUUCGGGGACCUCCAAAGACUAAACUGACAAGCCUCCAAGGAGCCCAGGGGUAAGUUCACUUGUCAAUGGCAUGGUUUUAAUCCCUUAUUUACACUUGUUGUAAAUCUAGUUACCAGUCUUAGAAGGCUUUCAAUGUGGAGCAGCCUUCUGUUAACAUGUUUGUGGUACCAGUAGCUGUGGGUAUUUAAUUCUACCCUAGAAAAAAGAGAAAAAAAGAAAAUGAAGUCUAGAAGUAAACUAUUUGGCAAAGAUUUGUUUUUAAAAGUCUAUUUGGUCAUCUCAAUGCAUUCAUUCUCAAAACUUUUUGAACCAGUUGAAUAAAAAAUUUGUUGUCACCACAGUUUAGUGUCUGGAGUCUUACUGGAAAAAUACAGUUUCUUUUUUAUAUGUGACAAAGGCGAUGGAAAGUUACCGUUCAAAAGUGAGUCUCAAGAAGUUCCCCCCCUUUAAUGAGCACAAGAGAAAUUGGGCCAAAAGUCAACAGUGAAUUUUUACAUGAGUGGUAGUUAUUUGGCUAGAAUGAAACCCUUUGUUAAAUGUUAACCUAUUAGAACUUCUUAAGGAGGAACAGCCAGUGAAAAUGGCAUUAGAUCUUUAAGGUUAAAUCGGCUUAAAUUGUGUCCUUUGGAAAAAGAAGAUGUACAUGAUAAUUAGAAUAAUUUGUUGUUGAGUACUAGGUGAGUAGCUCUUAAUUGUGUAUGAGUUCUAUACUUAGCUAUUGUAUGGUAUGUGAUCUGUUGUUUGUUAAGCAUGCCCAAGUAUUUCCAUGUUCAUUGUAAGAAGGAAAAAACCAGCUAUAGAUUUAUCUGUUAAACCAACACUUGAUUCUGACGUAUUUCUUCUUAAGGAAAUGCCACAUUUGAUUCAGCUGUUUUCUAUAUGUGAAUAUUAUAUUCAGGAUAUUUCCAAGUGCCAGAACAUCCUCACAGCUAAAUUAAAUUCUUAACAUUGGAAUUACUAGGUCAAAGACUAUAUGCAUGCUGUCAGGGCUUUUCAAAUAUUUCCAAAUUGUCCUUUAGAAAAUGUAUAUUGUCUUCAACAGUGUGAAAUAGUGCUAUUCCAUGUUCCUUUUUGUCUGCCAAUUUGAAUAAGUGAAAAAUUCUAUCUCACCAUUUGUGCUAUUGGUUUUUAAACAUGGGAGUCAGCACCUAAGCCAAAGUAUCCAUGUGUCCAGUUUAUUUACAAAAAAAAAAA